AAAGCAGCGUGUGAGGGGCAGCCCUCGGUUCAGGGCCGCCAGCCUUCCCCCCGCUCAGCCGGGGCUGCUGCGUGCUUUGCUCCCUUCCCGCUGUGGUUGCUGCAGCACUGGCCCAGGCAACUUUCCCUUCCUGGUCGGUCCAUUUGUUUCCAGGUCAAUAUGAUUUUAUUCCCUGUAUCUGCAACCCAAGGAAGGCCUCGCGGAGCACAAAAGCACUCCAGCCUUGUUCUCGCCGUAGUAAUCUCCCCUGCAGGUAUCUGCAGGACCGCGAUGCUGGGUCAGGUUCUCCGYGCUCGUUCAGCCACCAGGGCUGCUGCGUGAGCUGUCAGAAGCUGUGAGCAUCACUGGGUGCGAUGCUGAGGAUGCUUCGCGGAGGACAGGAGCAGCAUGACCUUCUGAAAAGAUCCUGGUACAACACCACCACUAGAAGCAAGAAGCAGAUGCGUCCGUGUGGCUUUUGUGCAUCUAAAGGCAGAGAAAGAAGUAGUGCAAGAUCUGCUCGGUGCUGGAGAGGGAAGAAUUUCCAUGUUUCUGAACUGCACGUGCAGCUCUCCCUGCRGCAGGCAUCUGAGAAAAGCCAGGAUGGACCGACAGCUGAGCAGGCAGUCUGACUGAAGGAAAAGAGCUCGUAGGGCACUUAACAAGCCCUUCCCCGCUGAACUUUGGCUUCCGCCGUUACAGCUCUCUGUGGGACAGGACAGCGUAACCCCGGCGAGCCUCCCCCCUCCASGGCCUGCUGAUGAGAGCGGAGGCCCCUUUAGGUGCCUUUCCACCACCGGUAACCACRGUUCCUCCCUCUCUGUGAACUCGCCAUUUCACCGUGCCCAGCCGUACGGCCGUUCAGCACAACACGUGCAAAGCCCUAACGAAGCCCAGGGCAGGAAACUGGCCUUUGCAGACGUGUCUGAGGCUGUGGUUACGUGGCCGUUUUAAUUAGCUGUAUGCCCGCGCUGCCACCGGAGGAGAUGUCCUGCCCGCCUCGCCGCUCGCAGCCGCCCGUCCCCUGCCUUUGCCGGACUGCUGCUCACACGGCCGCAGCGGGAGCGAAGAAGAGGGGCUGUCGGCAGGCUGGUGCCCUGCCCCGGCUGGCUGUGGGGACAMACCUCGC
rnacentral:lncRNA from 1 species